rnacentral:rRNA from 1 species
GAGGAAAGCUGGCGGCGUGCCUAAUACAUGCAAGUCGAGCGAACAGACGAGGAGCUUGCUCCUCUGACGUUAGCGGCGGACGGGUGAGUAACACGUGGAUAACCUACCUAUAAGACUGGGAUAACUUCGGGAAACCGGAGCUAAUACCGGAUAAUAUAUUGAACCGCAUGGUUCAAUAGUGAAAGACGGUUUUGCUGUCACUUAUAGAUGGAUCCGCGCCGCAUUAGCUAGUUGGUAAGGUAACGGCUUACCAAGGCGACGAUGCGUAGCCGACCUGAGAGGGUGAUCGGCCACACUGGAACUGAGACACGGUCCAGACUCCUACGGGAGGCAGCAGUAGGGAAUCUUCCGCAAUGGGCGAAAGCCUGACGGAGCAACGCCGAGUGAGUGAUGAAGGUCUUCGGAUCGUAAAACUCUGUUAUUAGGGAAGAACAAAUGUGUAAGUAACUAUGCACGUCUUGACGGUACCUAAUCAGAAAGCCACGGCUAACUACGUG